GGAAGGAUCAUUAUUGAAUGAACUUGGUGUGGUUGUUGCUGGCCCUCUCGGGGGCAUGUGCACACCCAUCAUCCUCAUCUCUCCACCUGUGCACCUCUUGUAGACCUGGAUUGACUUUCCGAGGCAACUCGGUCGGGAAGAUUGCUGCGCUCUGUGAGCCAGCUUUCUUUGCAUGUCCAGGACUAUGUUUUUUCAUAUACCCCUAUAGAAUGUAACAGAAUGUAUCAUUGGGCCUUGUGCCUAUAAACCUUAUACAACUUUCAGCAACGGAUCUCUUGGCUCUCGCAUCGAUGAAGAACGCAGCGAAAUGCGAUAAGUAAUGUGAAUUGCAGAAUUCAGUGAAUCAUCGAAUCUUUGAACGCACCUUGCGCUCCUUGGUAUUCCGAGGAGCAUGCCUGUUUGAGUGUCAUUAAAUUCUCAACCUUAUUAACUUUUGUUGAUAAUGGAUUGGAUAUGGGGGUUUCUUUUGCUGGCUUCUUCACAGAGAUCAGCUCCCCUUAAAUGCAUUAGCUGGUGACCCGCGUGGACCAUCUAUUGGUGUGAUAAUUAUCUACGCCGUGGAUGUCUGCAAUCAAUAUGGGUUUUGCACUGCUUCUAACCGUCUGUUCAUUCGGACAAUACAUGACAAUUUGACCUCAAAUCAGGUAGGACUACCCGCUGAACUUAAGCAUAUCAAUAAGCGGAGGAAAAGAAACUAACAAGGAUUCCCCUAGUAACUGCGAGUGAAGCGGGAAAAGCUCAAAUUUAAAAUCUGGCGGUCUCCGGCCGUCCGAGUUGUAAUCUAGAGAAGUGUUAUCCGCGCUGGACCGUGUACAAGUCUCCUGGAAUGGAGCGUCAUAGAGGGUGAGAAUCCCGUCUUUGACACGGACUGCCAGGGCUUUGUGAUGCGCUCUCAAAGAGUCGAGUUGUUUGGGAAUGCAGCUCAAAAUGGGUGGUAAAUUCCAUCUAAAGCUAAAUAUUGGCGAGAGACCGAUAGCGA
rnacentral:rRNA from 1 species